AUUGAACGCUGGCGGCAGGCCUAACACAUGCAAGUCGAACGAGUGGCGGACUGGUGAGUAAUGUAUGGGAAACUGCCUGAUGGAGGGGGAUAACUACUGGAAACGGUAGCUAAUACCGCAUACACUCGGAUGUGCCCAGAUGGGAUUAGCUAGUAGGGGGGGUAAAGGCUCACCUAGGCGACGAUCCCUAGCUGGUCUGAGAGGAUGACCAGCCACAAUUGAACUGGGACAAGGUCCAGACUCCUACGGAAGGCAGCAGUGGGGAAUAUUGCACAAGGGGCGGAAGCCUGAUGCAGCCAUGCAGCGUGUAUGAAGAAGGCCUUCAGGUUGUAAAGUACUUUCAGCGGGGAGGCGUUACCCGCAGAAGAAGCACCGGCUAACUCCGUGCCAGCCGCCGCGGUAAUUC
rnacentral:rRNA from 1 species